ensembl:miRNA Mir7229 microRNA 7229
UAGUAGACAUCCCUAGAUAGCCUCAAGGCUACACAGACCAGUGACUUUCUUCA